UUGGAUCAUCUGAUCAUCCUCUAUUGGGCAGUCAAAUAAUCCACUUCCAUCUUCUCUGGAAACAUUUAUAAUAGACUUUCAGAGUUUAGAGCAGGGGGAAUCUUGGCACAGUGGUGAGCCAGGGAAGAAAAUAAGAAACUUAAGAUAGGGGGCCCAGAUGAUGGUUUAAAUUAUAAAUCGAUGUUGGGUAAGAACAGGCAGAUGUUGUAGAUUAAAGCUGGCUUGUUAACAUUGUCACAGCCGUGAAAACAAGCUGGGCUGAUCUGAUCAUAAAAAAACCCUGACCCUCCUAGAAAAUCAGGGCCCAGGCAUUGUCUUUCAGGACGUUUCUGUGUGUCUGGUCGGAUGUUAGCAUUUUCCAGUCAAGAACUUGAAGUUCGGAGGAGUGGGUGGGGCACAGGCGAUCUCUUUGGUGGCUGGUUCCUAUGAAAACAAUAAAUAGCUUCCAGAGAGAGGGGAGGGCAUCUGUGUUCUUACGGGGCUCACUCCACCCACCGACAACACAAAGGGAGGGUGGCCGAAGAAGCAGACAGCUGGCUCCCGGCCAACCUAAUCCUUUACAGCCUCAUGAAGGAGUGUGGUCUGGAGGACCUUUUAAAAGGAGAGAAGGAUGUUAAGAAGUGUUGAUAAACAGAAGAAUCCCACUGUUGAGAAAGAAUCGGCACAGAUUUUGUGCACAGUGGGAAGCAUGCCAAGGGAUUCCGUUCCCAGCUCUGACUCUAACUGGCUGUGUGACCUCGGGUAUCCUGUUGAAGCCUAACUGUCUAACCUAACAGAGCCAGUAGUAAGUGGUGGAGACAGGAGUUGAACAAAGGAAUAUGACUCCUGAAUGCAUGCUCUUAACCAACUAUUAAAGAACAAAACUUCAGGCAGCCUUUUAUAGGCAGAAAUGGGAUGGGACAAGGAAGUUAUUAGCAAAAGAAAAGAAAGUAUUGUUUUAGACUAGGUCACUUUCCUCUAGGGGGAAUGGCAGGAGGUCUUAUCAUACAGAUGACCUCUCUAGUGCCUAUCAGGAAAUUCCAGAUUCACUGGUUUAAAAUUACACUCCGGAGAAGAGGCUAAAACUGCAGUUAGGUUAGGUAUUAAGUCUUGGUGGGACUUAACAUAAGUGACUCCAUUUUGAGCCUAUUGUUUCUUUUUAACAUUUACCCCCUUUUGAUUGAACUCAGCCUGAGAGACGUGGUAAAGAUUUAAGGCACCAGCACCACUCGCAGCGACCAAUUUGUAGUUCUCAAAACUUUCCUUGAUCCUGUUUUUUGCUGAAUCACUGUGGUAUUCACAGGUCAUGACUUCAGGCUCACAAUUUUUUAGUCAGUCAUUUUCUUCAUUCCUUUUUUGACAUUCCAGUUUCAGGGAGACAUUUGCUUGGUAGUUAGUGACUGCAAACAUGCAUUUAAAGCCUCCAAGAGACUACAGUGUGUCAGAGAUUCUUAUAAGUGUAAGAAGGAUAAUUUCCAAAAAUGUUUGGAGUGCACUUUGGAGUCUUGGUCCCCAAGACCCAAACCAAAGAGAGACUCCUGUAAAAGGAGUCCCCCUUUCAAGGCUUGUAGCUUGCCCAGUGACCAUAUUUAACUGAGUUUCAGCUUCCCUAGAAAUGUUAAUCUAGGUACUGCAGGUGCUGUUGGCCACAGCACAGACACCUUAUUGCUCAUCUGAACGAUAAUUAUGUUACCAAGAAUAACUUUGGCCAGUGGUGCCCGGGUGGUUUAGUCGGUUAAGCAUCUGACUUCAGCUCAGGUCAUGAUCUCAUGGUUCGUGAGUUUGAGCCCCACAUGGGGCUCUCUGC